AUUGAACGCUGGCGGAAUGCUUUACACAUGCAAGUCGAACGGCAGCACGGGGCAACCUGGUGGCGAGUGGCGAACGGGUGAGUAAUACAUCGGAACGUGCCCAAUCGUGGGGGAUAACGUAGCGAAAGUUACGCUAAUACCGCAUACGAUCUACGGAUGAAAGCGGGGGAUCGCAAGACCUCGCGCGAUUGGAGCGGCCGAUGUCAGAUUAGGUAGUUGGUGGGGUAAAGGCUCACCAAGCCGACGAUCUGUAGCUGGUCUGAGAGGACGACCAGCCACACUGGGACUGAGACACGGCCCAGACUCCUACGGGAGGCAGCAGUGGGGAAUUUUGGACAAUGGGCGCAAGCCUGAUCCAGCCAUGCCGCGUGAGUGAAGAAGGCC
rnacentral:rRNA from 1 species